UGGGGAAUAUUGGACAAUGGGCUAAAGCCUGAUCCAGCCAUGCCGCGUGUGUGAAGAAGGUCUUCGGAUUGUAAAGCACUUUAAGUUGGGAGGAAGGGCAUUAACCUAAUACGUUAGUGUUUUGACGUUACCGACAGAAUAAGCACCGGCUAACUCUGUGCCAGCAGCCGCGGUAAUACAGAGGGUGCAAGCGUUAAUCGGAAUUACUGGGCGUAAAGCGCGCGUAGGUGGUUUGUUAAGUUGGAUGUGAAAUCCCCGGGCUCAACCUGGGAACUGCAUUCAAAACUGACUGACUAGAGUAUGGUAGAGGGUGGUGGAAUUUCCUGUGUAGCGGUGAAAUGCGUAGAUAUAGGAAGGAACACCAGUGGCGAAGGCGACCACCUGGACUAAUACUGACACUGAGGUGCGAAAGCGUGGGGAGCAAACA
rnacentral:rRNA from 1 species